AGCAUGGGUAUAUCCAAUAGGGCGGAUUAGCCAUAGACCUUACAGGGAAAUUUCCUUGUGGGCCGAUGACCAGGGGACCACCUGAGUCCUCCUCACGGCUGGCCAGUGGAAGUUUUUGGGGAUGUAUUUUGUACUACUGGCAG